CUGCCCGUGGUGCUGAGGCAAUGAUGUAUUGUGUGCAUCCCGCUUCUGCGCAUGUUGCAUGACAGGUGCACACGCAAUCCUCCAUCUUGGGCAUCACAAACUGAGGCAAAAGGGCAUCAACCAUAUACAUUCAAUACAAAUACAAAUCUGACCGCGCGUAGAGAAAAAUAGGCAUAUACUCGAAAUGUAAAUUAGAGAUAAAAAUCAACAACUGCUACUUCGAAUGAAUGACGGACGAGGGAGACCAGAAUGAAGAAUAUCGACUGCGUAUGGUCAAGGAAGACUAACGACCUUUUACACUGUCAGCUUUUACCUGUCUAGUAACGAAUCAACUAUUAAAGAAAACAAAAUGCACCCUUCGUUUUAUUAGAUCUGGCAGUUACUAUCCUUCUCUGCAUCCUUUACCAAAAGGUUGACUGGACCUCUUUAAAGGCUCAGGGGUUGACCAAGAUGGGCGUCAAGAAGCUGGCCAUCCUUCUCCUCGCCUUCUUGGUCUGGAUAGAGGGAGGAUCCACUAAAGAAAAAGGGACAAAGAAAGGGAAGAAGGGGAAGCAAGUCUACUGUCCUUCACAGCUGACACCUGAGGAUCUGGCACGGGUCCCUGAGAAUUCAACCAGUAACAUCUUGAACAGAUUACUGAUCACAUAUGAUCCUCGAAUCAGGCCCAACUUCAAAGGCAUUCCUGUGGAGGACAAAGUGAACAUAUUUAUAAACAGCUUUGGGUCAAUCCAGGAGACCACUAUGGAUUACAGAGUGAACAUCUUUCUGAGGCAGCGAUGGAAUGAUCCCAGACUCAGGCUACCUCGGGACUUUAAGUCUGACUCACUCACCGUUGAUCCCAAGAUGUUCAAAUGCCUGUGGAAGCCUGAUUUGUUCUUCGCUAACGAGAAGAGUGCCAACUUCCAUGACGUCACCCAGGAGAACAUUCUCCUCUUCAUCUUCCGCAACGGUGACGUUCUCAUCAGCAUGAGGUUGUCUGUCACUCUAUCCUGUCCUUUGGACCUGACCCUGUUCCCCAUGGAUACGCAGCGCUGUAAGAUGCAGCUGGAGAGCUUUGGCUAUACGACGGAUGACCUGCAGUUUAUGUGGCAGUCAGGAGACCCUGUCCAGAUGGAGGAGAUCGCCCUGCCCCAGUUUGAUAUCAAACAGGAGGACAUAGAGUAUGGAAACUGCACCAAAUUCUAUGCAGGGACAGGCUACUACACGUGUGUGGAGGUGAUAUUCACCCUGAGGAGGCAGGUGGGCUUCUACAUGAUGGGUGUCUAUGCCCCCACACUGCUCAUUGUGGUCCUCUCCUGGCUCUCCUUCUGGAUCAACCCUGAUGCCAGCGCUGCCAGGGUUCCUCUGGCUGUUAGUCACUUUCCUCCCAUCCCUUCAUCUCCUCUGGAGGGCCACCUCGUGACACCUCAGUAAAUGGGAUCAGCACAGGGAUCCUCUCGGUGCUCUCCCUGUCUUCUGAGUGCACAUCCCUGGCGUCAGAGCUGCCCAAGGUUUCCUACGUGAAGGCCAUCGACAUCUGGCUGAUCGCCUGCCUACUGUUUGGCUUCGCCUCCCUGGUGGAGUACGCCGUGGUGCAGGUGAUGCUCAACAGCCCCAAGCGCAUCGAGGCUGAGAAGGCCAAGAUGGCAUCCAAGGUGAAGGCAGAGGGUAAGGAGAAGGCGGCAGGCAAGAACAACACCGUCAAUGGUACCAGCGAGACGCCCUGUCAUGUCAGCACACUGCAGGGGGCAGAGACCCGGUGCAAAAAGGUGUGCACCUCCAAAUCGGACCUGCGCACCAACGACUUCAGCAUUGUUGGCUCACUACCGCGGGACUUUGAGCUCUCGAACUUUGACUGCUACGGGAAGCCCAUUACCUUGCCCCACGGCCUGAGCAAAAGCCAGGCCAAGGCCAAGAAACCGCCGCCGCCCAAGCCCAUCAUCCCCUCAGCUGCCAAGCGGGUCGACCUCUAUGCCCGAGCCCUCUUCCCCUUCUCCUUCCUCUUCUUCAACGUCAUCUAUUGGUCCGUGUACUUGUGAUCAGGGAUGGAAUUGAAGGGUUUUGGGCCAGCUUGGCUAGUAGACCACAUCUUUGCUUGUGAUCAUCUCGUAUUUUGAUCCAUUCUUCCUUAAUUUUUCAAGUUAUUGAUUUGUUGAUCUGUUUAUAUUAAUCUAUAUAUUAUUAACUAUCAUUAUUGGCACUAGAACAAUUAUAUCAUCCAUGAAUUCAUAAUUAUUGACACUAGGAAGAGCGAACAUCCAUCAUAGGUGUAAUUUGUGAGAUGAAUCAUAUAAAUGAUUUGACAAUUUGAAAAUCAAUAAAGAAUAAAAAAGAUUAAGAAUUUAUGGAAAAAGAAUACUGUUGUAGUACUUAGUUCAAAGAAAUCACAAGACACAGUACAAAUAAUUGUAAAUUGGUCUCCAUGUUUGAGCUAGCAGGGUUUUAACGCAGACAGUCCCAGAAUUUCAGAACGAAUUCUGAUAUGUUAAAGAAAUUGCAUUGUGAAACCCAAACGUAUUAUGUCGAAGUCUCUCAAACGCUCUGGAGAACCGCACCAGGGUACCGCAUUUCAAAUUUGAAAACAACCCUAAAAAUAGAUUAAAGAAAGAAUUAAUCAAAAAUAUUAGUGUACAUAGCCAGGUGCUUUUUGUCGCUAAGAGCAGGAACUUGCUCGCAAGAUUGAUAAGAUGGCAUCGGCACAAAGUUUACAAUUGCAUGUUAAAAAUUGCUUAUAUGAAUAUAAAUGCAGUAUAUUAUAUCUAUGAAUGUUUAUUAAAGCUACAAUAUGUUAUUUUUUGGGCGACCUGACCAAGUUCACGUAGAAAAGUGAGUUAAAGAUCUGUAAUUCUCAUUGAAAGCAAGUCUAAGAAGUGGAAGAUGUGCGCUAUUUCUAUGCUUCCCGUUCUUAAAUUUCGUUUUUGUGUCUAUUUGGUUUUGUACACCAGCUUCAAACAGCUGAAAAUGCUAUAUUUGGGGAUUUUGAAAAGAUAUUUCACAGCGGUUUGUAUGGUACAAUGGUUCUCUACACGAUGCAUUGCUUGUUUUGUCAUAUAAACUAAAAUUAGGUGAACUCUAAUAUUAAAUACUAAAUAUUACCUUUAAUAUUAUGGUAUUAUUUUCUCUCUCCAAGACUACAGUUGAUAUAUAAAAAACUGUGUCUUUGUUCAGUUGGUUAUAUGACAUUGCCACUACGAGAAUUGUACCUUUUGACAAUCUCUCACAUAUCACUACAUGUUCAGCACCAUAUUUCAUGUGUAAAUGGGUUAACAAACUGACCAUGUAUAUGUGAUUUGCAAGUUUACAAUUUACAAACUAAAUAAAUGUUUAUAUGACUCACUCAACAAUGUAUUUGUGAUAUUAUUUGUUGUUUUCUAAAUCUGUCUGUCUCUACACACAUUUAUCACAGAUUUACCACAAUGACUAAAGAAUGUGAGAUUAAACAAAUGUUAUGUACCCAUUGCUCAUUAAAAUAAACUCAAGGA